UGAUUUGAAGCUGAAUUUAUCACCCCCUAGGGAAAAUAAUAAUAUGUUUCCAAUAUUAUCACCAAGCAGAUCAUCGUCUUCGUAUACUUCUUCAAUGGAGAGAUCACCAGCAAGUUCAUGUGUUUCAAGGGAACCAACUCCAGAUCAUCAAGAAUUUUUUGGUAGCCCUGAAGCAACAACAACUUCUAUGAUGUUAGUAGGAUGUCCAAGAUGCUUAAUGUAUGUUAUGUUAUCAGCGGAAGAUCCAAAAUGCCCCAAAUGUAAGAGCUCUGUUUUGCUUGAUUUUUUCCGCGAGGAUCGAAUCAAUAAUCCAAAGAAUUGAUGAGGAUCAUCAUGCGACGAUGGAAUCUUAAUAGUUCAGUUGGUUGACUUUCUGAAUUAUCACUUUUUGAAUUGAACUGGCACCUUAGAUAACCAAUUAGGUUUUAGUAGUAUUUAAUUUCUUUACAUAUGUUGUAAUCCUUUUUGUCUUUUUUUGUUUUUUUUUUGAGAGUUUGUUGAGGUAAUUGAAUGGAUUUGAUGAAAAUCUUGAAUGUAAUCAAAAGAGGCUAGUAUGGUUGAUAUUAUGUUCAUCAUAUUAAUUCAUUCAUGUUUUAGUAGCUCUAAGUUGCUAUCUUUACUAAAUGCAUGCAAUUAAUAUAUUGUUAUAACUAUCUUGUUAUAUUUCGGUUUAAUUAGCCAUACAAUAUUCACAAAUCAUUAACUCGAUUGAUUUAAAUUCGUAUCAAAUAUUAUUACUAUAAAUUAGGCGAAACGCUCCAUAACUCUAAGGUCGAAUUUCUUGUCAUUAAGUGUACAUGCAAGUUACAACACAUGUUAGGUGUUCAUAAUAAUUGCUUGGGAGACCUUUCACAUGGUUUUAGGUGCAAUUCAAAGAAAUUAUGCGAUUCAAAUUAGGUCAAAUUAAAGUAUUCAUUUAGAAGUUUACUCAGUGUUCAAACAUAAAAUUGAAUACGAAUUUGAAGAGGGGAAAAGAAGCAAAGCAUCAUUGACAUUAGCUUACGGUGUUCAUUUGAAAGUUUGAUUAAUUUAAUUUUUUUCAAAAAAAUCUCAUUCUUAAAAAGUAAAAUGUACUAUAUCUAAAGUCAAAUUUAAAAUCUCUAAUAAAAUAAAAAAAAAAUACUAUUCGCUGUGAUCUUUAAUGAUUGAAUGGCCGUCCUCGUGCCAAAAAGGAUCAUCAUUAAUUAGAUUAAAUACUUAUUUAAAAUUUAUGUAAUUUUAGAAUAAAGAUAAAUUACACACAUUCCACAAACGAUAUCAAUUAUCAAAUAUUUCAAAUUUUAACAUUUUAAACAUAAUUUUGAGUGUCACUAGUGGGUUUAUAAAUUAAUUGGGAGAUUAUAACGUAAAAUAUGAGUCAAUUAAUUUUAAUCGAUGAAAGUGACACAAACAGGUUCAUAUAGUUAUCGUAGUCUUAAUUACUUGCGUGGACAAGUUUUAAACUUCAACUUAUAAUUAAUUACCAAUUGUCAAAAGGGCGGCGAAUUUGUGUUUAAUAACAUCUUUAUCAAUUCAUGAACAAUAAACGGUGGGUGAGCUAAUUAGCUACAUUACCAUGUAUUGUCAUUUAAUGUAAAUCUACCAUUUUUGGAUUGUUCACAUGUGACACAUCAAAACUUCCGCAGUUGGAUUUAUUUCCUAAUUUAAUUAUAAGACUUGUAUUUCUUCACCUAUGUAGUUAUCUAUUGUUCUUAUUAGUUGGUUCUUCGUAAAGCUUGUUGAGUCUAAGUUCUUAGGCGUAACUCACACCUCAAAAGCUAAAUCAAAGGGAGGAGGAUUGUCCGAGCCUUAUAACGAGUUCACCCUAUUUCAUUAACCACCGAUGUGAAACUUUUGUCAUUCUUUAACACCCCACCUCACGCCCAGUGCUUAGCAUCUGGUGCGUGGACAAUUUUGAUUUUUGGGGACCCCAACAUCGGGUGAGACGGACCCUGCUCUGGUACCAUGUGAAAUUAGGUCUUACGCCUAACUCAUGCCCUAAAAGCUAGCUCAAAGGAAGAAAGAUUGUUCAAACCUUAUAAGAAUUACACCCAUCUCAUUAAGAUAUAAAUUAACGUAAUUAAUUUAGUUUAACUCGUAAAACACACCCCAAGCAAUGUCUAGCUUUAAUAUUUGUUUAUCUAACUCAAAUAAAAUGAAUAACCAUGGCCUAUCCUUUUAAAUUCGCACGAAUAGCACUAGGUAGUGGAUUAUAAUGACAUCAUUAAAAACAUAGCCGUUUAUUUAAAGUUGAAUUAAUAUUAAUAAAUUCACCUUCAAUUUCUUAAAUAUGAAUCUAACUACUUUGCAUUUAAAUCCUUUUUAAAAUCCUAAAAUAUAUACAUACUUGACUCUUCUUUAAAUAGAGCUCAUAAAACGGCUAUUUUUUCAAGUUGUCCCUUCAACGGCAAGUAUAGCAGCUUAAACUUUUUAAAAGCCCAUUACAGUUCUUAUCACGGCCCAACAAAGAAUACACUAUCCCCAGGGCUUCUUAGUUGGACUUGUAUUAAGUAGACAAAAGGAAAAAUUACUUAGGAUGGUAUUUUUUAAUAAAUAAUUACCGAUUUUAGCGAUAUUUUAUUUUUAUUUUUAUCAUCAUUUAUAGCAAUACUAUGUUAAAUCUGCAAUAUGUAUUAAAAAUGAAUUAUGUAUGCUAUAAAUAUGUAUUAUACCUGUUUUUAAAAAUAUAUUAUGCUUGUCUUCUAAGGAAUUGACACAUUGUAUUAUAAGUAUAUUAAAAUGUGUGAUACAUGUAUUAAUCAUCAAUAAAAUUUAUAUUAUAUGUGAAUAAUAAAUUGUUCUUUGUAAUAUGUAUUAAAAUCAUAUUAUAAAUGUAUUAAAAGUGAUCAAGUUAAAAAAAUAUUAUUGCUAUAAAUGAUAAAUAUUCUCUUAAUAUAUUAUAUUUAUGCAAGUUUCCUUUAGAUAUUAUAUGCAUAUAUUUAUCGGUAAUAGUUAAGUCAAACUAGAUGUUUUUAUGAUUUAAAAAAAAAAGAAACUAAGCGAUAUCGAAAUAUUUGAUCUCUUCAAUUCAAAAUUUUGAAUGCUUCUUGAUUUAAGUGGUAAAUACAUAAAUUGUUAUAACUAACUUACUCAAAAGUGUUUGGAAAAGGAAAAACAACAGCUAUAUGGAUAAUAUAGGGCAACUUUCGCAAAAAAAAAAUCAUAUUUGUAUGCUAAUAGCAAAGUUUGCAUAAUUGUGCUUCAUAGAAAACAUAAAAACUGUAUAAUUCGCUAUACAUAGACAGUUGAAGCAAAUUGUAUAAAACGAAGUGUAUAAAACAAGAAAGAGAAAGACAAUUGGGCAGAGAACUGUAUAAAAUGAAUUAUAUUAUUAUAAAUGUAUAGAAUGAUUAUAUACAAUUUGAAUUUGAAUAAAAUGAGAAAGAGAGAAAGACAAUAAAGACUUGACAAGGAAUAUACUAUUGAAUCGAAUUGUAUAAAACGAGAAAGAGAGAAAUUAGAUACAGUUUGAAAAUUAUAUAAAACGAGAAAGAGAGAAAGACAAAAGAAGUUGGACAGGAGAGUAUUUUUAUUGUAUAGUUAUAAGUGUAUAGGACGAAAAUAUAUGUACUUGCAUGUGUAUAUAUAAUUUUCUCACACUUUAUACAAACGGAAAUGCAAUUUAUACAUUUCUCUUCUGUUUGUAUAAGUGAGAAAGACGAGGGUGGCGAGCGAGAUCUGGAAGAGGGGAGAGAGGGGAACAAAAAUAUAUGUAUUUAUACAAUUUUCUCUGCUUUAUACAAUUAGAAACAAUUUUUAUACACUUGUGUUUGUAUAAAAAGUGAGGAAGUGAGCGAGAGAUUGGAGGUGAGUGGCGAGCGAGAUAUUUGUGAGAGAGGCGUCUGGCAAUUUUUUGCAAACGUUUGCUAUGGAGCACAAUUAAAUCAAACCCUAGCUACUCCAUUUAUAUUAGGUUAUUAGUUUGCUGUUAUACAAUUUUCCCAAUAAUAUAUAAUUAAAGGUGCAAGAUAAAUUAGCCCAUAAAAUAUAAUCCACCCAAAUCGGUUGAUUAUUUAUCCGUACAUUUAUUAAAUUAAUAUUCCCUUUGUCUUUUCGUAUGAUUUUGCUUCGUUCAACCAAUAAAAAAUAAGGAAUGUAACUCAAAUUAAUUGAUGAGAAAUCUUAUUAAAAUAUUUUAAGAUAUUUAUUUUAUUAAAUACGAUAAAGGUAUCAAUAAAAAACUAGACAAUAAAAACCAAUAAAAUUUUUAAAUAGAUUGAAAUAUGAUUCGCAUUUUUUCAACUUAUUUCAACAUAAUUUAUUUUAAUCCAAAUAAUUUACUAAUACAAAUCUAUAUUAAUCCGCUCAAAUUUAACUAAUUGUAACUCAAAUUAAUUGAUGAGAAAUCUUAUUAAAAUAUUUUAAGAUAUUUAUUUUAUUAAAUACGAUAAAGGUAUCAAUAAAAAACUAGACAAUAAAAACCAAUAAAUUUUUUAAAUAGAUUGAAAUAUGAUUCGCAUUUUUUCAACUUAUUUCAACAUAAUUUAUUUUAAUCUAAAUAAUUUACUAAUACAAAUCUAUAUUAAUCCGCUCAAAUUUAACUAAUUGUGAUCACCACUAUCAUAUUGAUGCAAUGCAGCUGGAGGAAGACUUGCGCCUCCUAAAAGCACUAAGAAUUUAAAUUCUAGACUUUAAAACAUGAUUAACAAUUGCAACAACCUAUAAACACUGCAAUUUUUUUUAGAAAAAAUUAUUAUAUCAAAGGAAGCACAAGUCCAAUUUUUUUAAAAAAUGCACAUGGGAAGGGAAGAAGUAGUAAAAGUUGUCAAAAUUGUAUUGGCAACUGUCAAGCAAGUGUCAUGAUUCAUGAACUAUAUUUAUUAUGUUACAAUCAUGUCCUACAAAAGCACACAAAAAGAUUACUGCUUUUAGUGGGCAAAAUAUCAUAUGCCAACCAUAUUAUUAAUUGUUACAAUCAUUCUACAACUAUUACAAGAAAGCCUACAUAAUAUUACUAUUACCGCCCAUUAGAUAUGGAAUUACUUUUAUCGAGGAGUGUUUUGAACUGAUUUAUGCGUGAAAUUGAAACCCAAACGAAAAUGAAUCUGAUGAUGACAUUUAGGCCUAAUUCAACCUAAAAAAUUAGCUCAUGAGGGGAGGAUUGUCCAAAUCUAUCUAAGGAAAUCAACAGUCCAUUCCUCAAUCAAUGUGGGACUUUUACCUACUAUAACGACAAAAGAAAGAGAAAUGUUACAACCAUGAACCAAGAAGUACAACUCUUCUUUAGUCAAAUUCAUCUUAAGCUACUGAGGAUAUAUUCCUUGCAUAAGAUUAACAUACAAUAUCUCAUAAAUAUAAAUGUUGGUUCUUGUUAUAUAUGAUUCACCAUAGAAAAAUAAGUACAUUUAUUUUCAUUAGGCAAGUAAAAAAUUAAACAUUCCUCUUAAUGUUAUCAUCUACUACCCCCAUUGGCCACUAGACCAUAGGCCUCAAAAGGGCAAAUCUUUGAGUGAUUAGCCUCAAUUAUGUAGAGCAAAACUACAAGAAAAAAAAAAGGUCAUUUGCACAUUUGCUGCUUGAAUCCAAACUUUUCAUUUUUGAGAUCAAAUUCAACUAAGUAAUUCUGCAUCUGAAAAUUGCCCAGAAUUAUCGAUGGACCGGUAGAUAAUUCAGGGCCAAAAGCACUAUCUGUAACCAUUGUUAAGCAAAUGACAUCAAUUUCACCUGCAAAUGAGAAGUAAUUUGCUAUUGGCAAUGUCAUCUCUGCACCACCUUUGAAAUGAAACUUUAGCUCUGGUAAAGACACUGUUUCUUGCCUGGAAAUAUUGAAACAUGGCUUCAAACCUGUUAUUAUCUCAAUACUCUCACUUCUUGGAAUACCCUUUACUUGUUUCACAAAUGCAUCAAGUACUGGUUCAAAAACACCGCGAUUCAUGAAUGUGAAAGUCGUGCCUGAAUCCACAAUGCUCCCACCAUUUCCAUUGGAAUCUGGUGUUAAAUACUUGUAUGGGAUCUUCACUUUCUUCCCUCCAACUGUAAUUUUCCUCAAACUAACAUAGUAAUACACUGACAAUGCAUUUUUUUCAGACACCACUGGAAUUUUCAGCAAUGGGGUAUAGCUUAAACCUGCAGUUUUUUCACCACUAGCAUUGAAAUCCAAAACAAGAUUGCUACUUUUACCAGUAUCAUCAAAUUUAUGUGAAACAAGGCAAUAAGAGAACUUCUUGACACCUAAUUGAUUUGGUAAUGAUGCAAGUCCCCGGCCUAAACCAGCAAUUCCAGCAGGCUGUUUUGAUGAAAACAGAGAACAACCAACGAGAAAAUUGGGAACUUUCUUGUUAGAAAGAUCGAGUGUGUCAACAAGAGCAAGACCCCCUGUUGAGCCUGAACCAUAAAGUAUAAUAUAUGGUGGACAGACCUGUUUACAAUUAGUAGGCGAUUCGCAAUCUUGGCAACGAGAUUUUGGAUUAUUGCUAUGAAUCCAACCACAUUUUGGAUUCAAACAACCAACAACUCGUGCGGAGGAUGAAGAUUUGGGAAUGAAGGUAGGAAUGGACUGUGAAGUAGCUGAAGAGACAGAGCAAUUGGUACAUAAGUACCUUGUAGUACAUGGGAACCAAACAAAGCUACUUCCAGUGUCCAUAAUGAAAGGGAUUUUCUGUGGAGGUGUACCAAAGCUAAGAGUAAUGGAGUAGCCUCCAUAGCUUUGAGGAUACAAAGGGGUUGUGGAAACAGGGGAAUCUUGAGAUUUCUUGAUGUAAUUUGCUCUUGCUAAGGAAAUGGAAGCUAAAUGUGUGAGCUUUUCAUAUAAAUCUUGAGAUGGGUGUUUUGUGUUGAAAAGUGAAAGUGGAAUGGUAGAAGUGGUAGAGUUUGAUGAAGAAAUGAAGGAAAAGAGGAGAGAAAGCAAAGAGAAAAACAGAGCAAAAGAGAGUGAAGAAGGCAUUGUGUUAGUUUUUUGGGAAAUGUGCCUUUGGACUCAAAUUAAAUAGCUCAAGUAGCUUUAGUAAGUACAAUAAUAUAGGAGACAAAGCAUCAACAUGAUUGCAGUGGAAUGUCAGUAUUUGAGAUUUUAGGUUUUGAAUUUAUUUUAUGUAAAUUUUUUUUCGUAUUAUUAUGAAUUUAGAUAAAUUUCAAUAUAAAUAUCGAUGAUAGAUCAAAAGAAUAUAAAUUUGGAGCCAGUUUUGCGGCUAACGUGACUCUACUUUCACUGUGACAUAUGAUUCUUGCACUUUAGUGUAGUUAUAAGCAAUAAGUUUCCACAAAGUGUAUAUAAUAAGGGUCGGUGGGAGGACUUUUUGGGCUAAGUUGUUCAAUCUUUAGGUAGUAACCGUUGCACAGUAUUACUUAUUUUUAUCUGUUAUUAGAAGUUUUGAGUUUGAGCUUUAAAUAUUAAGCUAUUAAUAGAAAAGUGUUUUAUUAAUAAAAUUAGAUUUUAAAUAUAUGAAUUAGUGAAAUCAAAAUAGAAGGAGACAUAAACUAAAAUAACGAACAAUUUCCUGACAUAAAUCUAGAAUAGUAAAAUCUAUAUUGAGUGAGAAACCUAAGAAAAGUACAAUAGAAGAAAAGAAGAAACGAAAAAAAUUUACAAAGUGAAAAAUCAAAACUAACAAGAUAAAAUAUUCAUAAAUGAACUACUUAUAUAAUAUCAGUAUAUAUAACUUAAAUUCACUUUUUUUAUUCAUCGAGUAAUUAGGUUGAAUCAAAAGUUCAUUUCUAUUUAUAUUUGGGUAGAAGAUUGGUCAUGAUUCAACCACCCCAUACGAUUGGGUAGAGAGAUGUGAUGAUUCUUGAUCUGAUUAUAAAGUAAUAAUAAGCAUUUGUACUAGUCGAAAAAGGGUAAAUAUUCUUAAAAACUAGGCCUACAUUGCAAUAAGAUAUUUAUAUUAUUUGACAUGAUGUAGGGUACAAUGGCAUCAUUUAUUUGAGAAGUUGCCAAAUAGAAAUCAUCAUGGUUUUCUUCCAUCACUCAACAAUAAUCAUGUUCUUUUAAUAAUAAAGGAUGUUGAAGUUUGUUUAAAGGUAUUUGGUGGGAGAUAGUUGUGAUGUAAAAAAAAAAGUUAUCCUUUUGAAAAAAAUGAAAGAAAUAAUUAAUUUAUACUUAAUUUCUAAUUUAUAUUCUUAGUAGUAUUAUCAACUAUAAUCAUUUAUUAAAAUAGUAAAUUUACUAAUUAGUAUAUUAAAAAGGUGAUAUAUUAAAUUUAUCAUUAUAUCAAUUAAAAACGUCUUAAAUUAAAUAUAGACAAAUAAAAAUGAAAUGAGAAAGUAACGUAAAAAGCCAAAAAUGAUUAUUUUAUAUUCUUGGAAGCUAAAAAGUAACUUUUUCCAUAUAUACUUUGAUAUCUCCAUCAAACACAAAUUUAAUAUAAUUUUUUUAAAAAAAAUUAAUCGAUCAAUUACAAUCAGUCACAUAUUAUAAGCUAAUUUACUAUUUUAACCAAAUCGAUAUAAAUUCCAACCAUAUAACAUGUGAAUCUUCACAUGCAUGGUGUGGAAAAGUUUUAGAUGAAUCGACAUUUCCAUAUUUUGUUAUAUAGUUAAAAAAACAUAUAUAUAGGUCCUAAAGCCACAUAUAACAUAUAUAUUGCUUUGCUAGCUGUAUGAUUGAGAAACCUCUCUUAAUCCUUCUUCAACUAUAUAUUAUAUAGACAGAAAAGCACAAUAAAUACCAAAUGCCAGCAGCGUACAACUCUUUAAAUUAAUCUUAUAGUAUAUAUAACCCUCGUUAAAAUCAUUGAUUAAUAUUUAAUAUCUACCGCUAUUUUAUCUUAAACAUAAUUACGAGCUUCAAUUAAAGAAAAAUCAUAAACUCCAACAAUAUGUUAAUAUAGGGGGCCAGUAGCCUGCUAAAGAAUGAGCAUUGAAUCGUCUUUUCUGGCAUUACCAGACAAAUUGAUACUCCUUUCGUUUUAUUUUAUACGACAACCUUUGAUUUAACGUGAAAUUUAAAAAGGAAAUAAAGCUAUAUAUUUUAAUUGAGCUAAUGAGAAAAGAAAAUAAAAACUAGAAAUCUUCUUAGUAUUGUAGUGAAAAAUUAUUUUUCACCAUACAUGUUAGUUCAAUACUGAAAAAUGAAUGACAAAAUCAUAUUUCAUAUAUAACACAUAUUUCUCAUUGAUUCGUGUUGAAAAAACCCUCAAUUUCUAACAGUGUCGACUCAAUACAAACCACAUUAACAACAUCCAAAAAAAAAAAGCAAUACCUCAAAAAGUGUGAUAUAGACAGCUAAUCUUGUGUAAGCGUUAGUUACUGCCCUAAUGUCACUAAGGGUGAUGUACACAUCCUAGUCUUGAAUUGUUUUUUUUUCUUUUUUUUUUUUUGUAACAUGAGAUUGAAAAGAAAAAUGUAUCACGUAGAUUUACGAUUUUUUAAAAUUAUAAGAGAAAAAAAGAGAACUAGAUUGGACUUUGGAGAGUGGCAAAUAAGUGUAUAUGUAUGUUUAACCAUGUGCCAUGGUGGGGAAAGCAAAGCAAAAAGGGUAGUACAAGAAAAGCUGGAUUCUUCCUGGUUUAGGUUCCUUCAUCAUCUCCACUUAAUCAAUUGAUAUCUAGUCCUUUUGGUCCACACAUGAGAUCGACUAGUACUAGUGGAACUUAUCUUUAUUUAUCAUUAUCUAUCGCUAUUAUGGCAAAUUCAGAAUUUUCAGGAAAUUCAAAAAUAAAAAUAUAGCGCAUAUAUAUAUAGAGUUUGAACUUGGGUUAAAUUUGAAGUUUUUAAAUUAUUGAAUCAUCUAAUUUUGUGUUUAGGAAUUUAAAAUGUUUAAAUAUACGUAAAGAGAUAAAUUAUAUUAUUGUACGUAUACAGUAUAGUGUUUGGGCUGCUGAGUUAAUUGAAAUUUUGGUCCACACAAAAGAGUAGUGGAGCUUGGCUUUAAUUACCAUUAUCAACUACUACUACUAUACCAUCUAACUUAUACGAUUUAUCUGCCAGGAAUUGAAGGAGCCUUAUCUUAAUCAUGUUUUUUUUUUUUAAAAAAAAUAAUUAAAAAUUAUAAGGUUAAACUUUAAAGUAAAAGUUACUGAUGUCAAUAACCUGACAAUAUAUUAAAAGCAAUAAGACUAUUUCCAAAUAGGUAUCACUCUCAUGUCAAAUAAUAGAAAAUUGUAUUACAUUUACAUGCAGAGAGAAUUUAUAUUGAUUUUUCAUAGGUAGAUUGAUUUGAUUAAAUUAAAUUUGCAUCGAGAGCGAAAAGUCUCAUUUUGAAUUAAAAAGAGAAUUUAUAUUUUUUUUAGCGCUCCGCCCCCUCGUAUAGUAAGGGCUAUUUUGGCUACUUUCUCUUAUAAGGUGACUUGACUCAGCUUUAUUUACUUGACUCAACGGCUAGAGUAUCGCUUUCAUACGGUGAGAGUCAUUAUUUCGAAUUCAAUAAUAGGCAAAACCAAUUGAAAAUCCUGAUUUUGCCAACAUGACAACAAACACGGUGUGACAGCAAAUAGUCAAUUUAGUGAUCAAAGCAUCAAUUGCUUCCACCUGUGUCCUUCUUCAACCGCCUUGACACCUUAAGGAUGAGAGGCUCUAUACUUGUCGUCCAUCACAACGUUUUGAUGGUGCAAUUAGUAUUGCAACAAAAUGGAUAUUUAGCGGUAAUGAUUUUUUAGAGACAAUUGAUAAAGAAAAUUAAUGUCAUCGCAUUUGGAAUCACUAAAGUUUUUAACAACAAUUAUAUAUAGUGUUAAUUAUAAAAAUUCAUAUUUAUUAUAUAAAAAUAUAACGGUAAUUAUUUUAUGAUGCUUGGUAGUGAAUAUAGAGACUUAAAUAUAAGCUCCUUUUUAUCCUUUUAGUUUAUUCUAUGUUGUGCCUUUUGCACUGGUUAAGCUUACUUUUCAAGCCAAUUGCAUGUUAUCUAAUUAAUUCAUUUUCACCUCAUUUACUGCAGAUAACUUUUAUAAAAUAUACAGAUAUUUUUAAGACAAACAAAAACCAUUAUGCUUUAUAUAAUUCUUAUUUAUAUUAUUAUAUAUUCAUAUAGAUUUGUUACCUUAUUAGAAUUGAUAUGAUAAAGUUUAUAGAGCUCUUUUUAUUAAAAUUAAUUCAAAUUGAGAUUUUUAAUUUAUUACUAUAAAUUAAAGUACGAUAGAAAUUUUUUCUAGUAGUAUAAAUUAAUAAUUUAAAAAAAGAAGAGGUUUGUGACAUUGGACUAAAGCAUAUAUUCUUAGUAAAGGUAGUAAGUUUUACCAACUUUAGACUAAAGCUAGAAUAUAUUCUUAAUAAAAUGAUAUUUCGAAAUUUCCUUAUGUAUACAAAUGGAACACAACAAUAAUUAAAAGAUCAUUAUUGGGAAACUCUGUAGAUUGAAAAUGUAAACAUCAAGUUUCCAGCUGCGGUUCAACAAGAAAUUUCUGGCAUUAAUUAAGUUUUUGACUUCAAAAACUAUAUGUGACGAAAAAAUUAUUCAAUAUUCCAUCCGUUUCAUUUUAUAUGUUAUUUUUUUACUUUGCACAUUAAGAAAAUGAGGUAAUUUUACCUUUCUACGCUUAUUAAGUAUUUUCUUAAAUUAACUUUAUAAUAAAUGAUAAAUACAUUUUCAAGAUUGAUUAAUUAAUUACUCUAUCAAGAUUCAAGGGUAUAAUAAAUAAAAUAUGAUAAUUUAUGCAUAAAUUUUAUAAAAUAACAAAUUUUUUGAUUCAACUAUUUAUAAAAAAAUGAUGAAAUUUAAAAUGAGACGGAGAAAGUAUUUCAAUUGACAAUUGCAUAAAUUUCAGUCUUACCAAAUAAGUCGUAUGUAUAUUCUUAUUUAGGUUAUGAAGUACAUUUUGGAACGUUUAAUCAUUAUUACAAAUAUUUUUUCCAUUUAUCACAAAUAUAAUAUUCCUUUCGUACUAUUUUAUUCGAACUCUUUCAUUUUCGGCUUAUUUUAUAAUAAAGAAUAACACUAAUUUUUAUGUAUAUAUAUUUUGACUUUCAUUUCAACAAGUUUUUUCAGCACUCCAAUUGACCUAAUAUGUUCAAAAUCAUAGAAUUCUAAAAGUAAUUUCAUAAUAUUUUCUUGUUAUAUAUUUAACUCGCAUGUCAAAAGUUUUUCUUUUCUCAAAUCAAAUAAAUAAAAUUUAUAGUAGUACAUUUUGUGUAUUAACAUUAGAAUUCAAACUCCACCCAUUUUUCAUUUCAUGUAGCUUUGAACUGUCAGAAAUCACAAUUCAAAAUUUAGUUUUGUAUGGAGUUUGAAUUGCGACAUCCAAUGCACCAAAAAGAACUUCAGGAUAAAUCCCCCUAAAUGUUCAAAUUUAAUAAAAAUUCGUGGAUUUUUUCCCCAUACUUUAGCAUUCAGAUUUUAUUUUCUGCAUUAGAAAUGAUGAAACAUUGAAUAAAAAAAUUAACUAAAGAUUGAUAUACAAAAAUUAAAAACUAUAUAAAAAGUAUUAUAAAUUGUAAUUUUUUCAUAUAUAAAUAUAUCUAAAAAUAUUAGUUAAAAUUCAUAUUAUUUGAUUCUUAAAAAAUAAAUUUAUUUACGACUAAAAAGGAACGGAGGGAGUAUGAAAAAUGGUUGAAUGGGGCUACAUUAUAAAUUAGUUAUAUAUUUUGGUUUAAUUAUUAGAAAUGAUGUAAUAGUUCAAAUGGGCUAGUUUUUAAACAUGUCCAGCCCAUUUAUAGACAAAAUUGUUUUUUGUCGUGUUACUAGCGUUUUGGGCUGUAUUGGAGUUAGGUGUAAAUGUGGAGCUUCUACGCGCCAAAUAGUAACCCCACUUCAACGGUGUUCUCUCUUAGGCGCCAAUUUCCCUUUUAAUUUAUUCUUUUCUUUUUUUUUUUUAAUUGGGAAAAGGUAGGAGUGACUUCGAUAGAAAUUAAGAAGCAAUAAAUGAGCUCGGGAUGAUUUAAACAUGUGUGGAGAAGAUGUACGGAUACCUCAUUACGACAGAGUCGUAUUGAGGAUUUUUUAAAAUGGGCGUACUAUUGUUACACUUGAGGUAUAAAUUUGGCCGGUUUGAUCUUUACGUUCUUAAUAUUGAAAUAGCUCCAACAUAUGUAGUAUACUUCUUGUCUUAAAUAUUAAUAUACACAUGUGAUUUAGUUAUAUAAAAAUUAUGUCAUGCUAUUCCUUUUUAAGGAAUUUCCAUACACACUUGAAAAUUUUGAAAAAUUAAAGAAAAAAAAAAUGAUUAAAACGCUAGAAGUGUUAUCCAUAACCAAUUGGAGGGCUAUUAUUAACAAAAAUAAGACAACUAUAAAGUUCAAAUUUUAUCUUUGGCUUGAGAGAUGCACACAAUCAUUAUCGUAUUAUUAUAUGUUAUUUUUAACAUGAUUUCGCACCUUUAUAUUUAAAGAAUUUUUUUAAAAAAAUAACAGAACUAUAUAUAAUCUAAAGAGUGAAGCAUUGAUUCACGUGAAACCGCAAAACUCCCUCUAAAUACGCCAAUGCAUUGUGGAGGUGUGAGAGGUUUAUUGUGGAUGAACUAAGAAAAGCUAGAUGAGAUCGAAUAAGUAUGAGAGAGGGGUAAUUAAACUAAAUGACACAAUUUCAACUUAUUAAAGAGAUGAGCUUAAUUAGAAAGUAUGAAGGACACAAAUUACAAGAUAGGAGGUAAGUUAGAUAGUUGAGCAUCGUUUCACUUGUUCUUCUAUACUAUUAGUCGUGGUAACUCUUGUAGGCUCUUGUCCUUUGAGUUUAAUUAAUAUCUAUGACUUUUUUACACUCUUAUUAUUGACUUGUCUUAUUAUGACUAUUGCUUAGGAUAAUUUAAUAGGUUAGCUAUACUUUUUUGUUAGAACUUUCUCCAUUUUUUCAUUUUUUUUAUAUUGCUUUGGUCGAUUUAUAUUUUCCUCAAGAAUAGUGUCUAUCAGAAACGAGUUCUUUACCUCCAAUAUAAUGAUAAGAUCGAUCGACUCUCUGAAAUUACACGAGAUAUGUUAUUUUUAUUUACAAAUUUAAUACAACUUCUCCACUCUCAAUCUUGGUACCAUUAUUACUAUUUUGGGGAGUUUAAUCACAAAAUCAUCAAUAAUUUUCUAACUUUUUAAGACUAAUGAUGAGUUGAGUUUAAUUAAAUCCCAUAAUUAAUUCUUCUUUAAAUUACCAUGUAAGUACUUGUGCUUCCCUCCAUAUACAUAUCUGAACCUUUUUGUUUCUUUGUUCCUUUCCUUUCCCUCGUUUUCUCCCCUUUCUCUCUCCGCUUAACUCAGAUCUCAUCUUCUUCCCUUUUCCCUCUGAAGAAACCCUUCAAAACCCAAGAAUUUUAGCCAAGAGGGGUUUCCAAUUCAAUUUAUUCUUGAAUUUCGUUUUCCCUCUUCUUCUUCAAUUGAAAAUAAGAAAAAAAAAUUGGGAUUUUUCUCAGCUGGGUGUGCUGGGAAAGAAGUUUAGUAAGAUCAUGCAGCCAAAUCAACAGCGGCCUUCGAAGCGUCAGCUCCCAUUUACGUCGAGUAAACCGCCGUUAGGGGACUACCACCGGUUCUCUACUGACCCACUUCAUCCUUCUUCUCAAGAGCUCGAAGGAAUCGCUGUAAAGUCUACUGUAAGUGUUCUGAUUUUUCCACACUACUGUGGGUCUUUUUUGUGAUGCAUAAUUUUUUCAUUCGAGUGAAUUGGACAAAUUUUUUAAAAUUUUAAUCUGCUGUAUGAUUUUUGCAAUAGCGAAGGGAAGUAACUGUAUUAAACUAGUGUGUGGAAAUUUUCACAAUUGUAUACAUCUGUAAUAGGGGAAUUUGGUGGAACUUCUUUCUUUUGCUCUAAGAGAACUUACAUGUCUAGCAUGCUAUCCUUCUUGAUUUAGCCUGUACUCUUUAUUAAUUUUGUUGUGAAUUCUGAACUUUGUGCCCUUUGAUUUCAGAAUUAUUUGAUCAUUGGGUCUUAUGAAUGUCAUGAUUUCCAUAAGUUGGAGAUACUAUUUUGAAAUCGAUUUAUAAAGUUGUAUUUUUGGGUACUUUUAUAACAACAACAUACUAGUGCAAUCUCACAAGUAGGGAAUGAGAAUGUAGGAUGUAUGCGAACACCCCUACCUUUUUGGGUAGAGAGUCGAUUUUUGGUAGACACUCGGCUCAAAAGUAGUUUAAUCAAAGCAAGAUUGUAAGAUAUAACAGAAAGAUGCAAAGCAAAUGAAGCAACAUGAAGUAGUAAAAAUUGAAGAAUAAGAUAUGAUGUGAAUAUUAACUAAUACUACUAAAAUAAUGAAAUGAUGAGAAAAGGAGACUAGCUUCUCCCACAUAAAAGUACGACAACACUCGGCUACCCGUUACCUUUCUACCCUAAUCCUUAACCUCUAAACCUUCCUAUACAAUGUUAUGCUCUUAGUAAGCUGAAGAUCAGCCACGUCUUGUCUAAUCACCUCCUCCGAUUCUUUUUUGGCCUGCCUCGACCUCUCCUAAAGCCUGUUAUAGCCAACCUGUCGCCCUUCCUUACUAGUACAUUUGCACAACGCCUUUUCACAUGCCCGAACCAUCUCAGUCUCACUUCCCUCAUCUUGUCCACCAUGGAGGGCAUAACCACCUUAGCUUGUAGAACUUUGUUCCUAAUCCUAUCUCACCUCCCAUUGUUAGGAUCGAAAAUAAGCAGGUGUAAAUGCGGAAGCUAGCAAAGCAAACCUCAAAAGACCACGAGUAAGAAGACAACGAGAAAUAUACCAAAAGACACAAAGAUUUAACGUGGUUCGGUCAUUCGACCUACGUUCACAAAGGAGAUGAGUAAUCCACUAUAAAUAUGAGAAUACAAGAUACAGAGAGAAACAACUUCAACCAAUUCACUCAGAAUACAUGGAGGUUCACACAAGUGAUAACGUAUUAAGCUUGUGACCCACAAAUUCUCCCCCUAACCAAAACUCUCAAAGCCCUUAAGACUACAUUGUGAAUGCUGAUUAAGUUAGAAGGAACAUAUCUCUAUUUAUAGAGUCCUAAACCUUUUCCUACCAGAAAAAGGAUUAGUCAAUCCAAAACCUUUUCUUAAAAGGAAAACCUAUUUAUGGUCAGAAAUUUAGGGCAAAUAAAACUCAACACCUAUGCCUACACAUCCACCUGAGUAUUCUCAUCUUUCCCACCUUCAUCUUUCUAACGUGCACGUAAUUGACUGGCCAAAAUUGUAUUUUCAACUACUAACCUACCUAGAUUGAUGUUAUGUUUCUUAAAUUUUGUGCCACCUUUACUUCUUGAUAGUGUGAAAUUAUGAAAGAAAAACAUGCAGCAGUAUUCAUCUUUCAACUGAAAAGGAGAUUAUAUCUUCAUAAUUAAGAAGGGGAAAGUAGAGGGGACUAGGUCAUUUGUUUAGGUUGUUCAAGAUCUGAAGCAUAAUGGAAGAGGGCUGUGAGAUUGUGAAUGAAGCUGCUCUGUACUAAAUUCUCUGUCACAAGAAUAACAGUUGCAUUAGUUGUCUUUUAUCUUUCUAUCUUAAUUUUCUUUUGUCAUAUAAAUGCACUGCAAUUGCAGUGAUCUUGUGCGAUAUUCUUUACAUGAUGUUGAAAUACUAGUAUGGCUGAAGUGUUAUCGCUUCGGACCAAUAUUAACAAAUGAAGGACCUAGAUAAGGUAGGUUUAGCAUUAGUAGCCAAAAGAGAGAAAUCGACAAGAAAAAUCAGCAGUUUUGAGGAAUCUUUACAGUAGUAGCAUAUUACAAGGCCUUGAGCUUGUGGGGUUUUAUUGUUAUGGAUCUUUUAAUGCUGCUACUGUAGACAGGUUUAUUCUGUUAUGUUAUUGAAGUAAGUCCUUUAUAAGAUUGAGGGUAAAAUUGGAUGGUUAGAUUUGUAAUAUUGAUUGAUCAUAUGACUCAGCUUGUGUAGUAUAGUGGCAGAUGCAUGCAGUUCUUGUGUGCAUCACAAAUUGAGAAAGAAAAUAGAGGAAGCAAUAGAGGAAAUAAAGGCAUAUUAACUAAUGAGCUGCAAUUUCUAGUUUUCCUUACUGUGAGAUAAGCAACUGGUUGCUUCUGGUGAAGCACGUUUGCUACUACAUGGAGAUUCAGUAUACUAGUCCUGAGCUGUUUCUCAUGCCUAGAGAGGCGAAAACAGUGUCUGUUAGGCUGAAGUCAAAUCAUGUCAUAGGUGGCAAUAGAUACUGCAAAGGACUAAGCCACUAUUUUCAUGUCGGAUGUGGUCUACUCUACCACUAACUGCCGGUCACAUGCACAACUGAUGUGGGACUUAACAUGCUGCUAAUAUUAAGUCUUUAUUAUGUUCUUUCUACAAAAUCCUCACUAGAUAUUAUAAUGAUACGACAUUACUUUGUUUUUUUUUUUAAAUGCUUGAGCAGUUUAUAUUAUCUACUUCACUUCAGACACAAUGCUUGUUAAUGAUUUUAAAAUUUAUUGCUGAUAAAAACUUGGGGAUACUCAAUUGUCUUGAUUAGCCACUAAAGCGGAAGAGUGGAACAAUAAAUUACGAACAGGGAGUUGGUGCACAGGUUUCAGGUUGUGAAAGUGUCUAUGUGAGUAGUCCAAUGCUGACACCAAUCUCAGGGAAAGCUGGAAAGUCACAGAAAGAACCUAGGGCAUCAAAGGCCAGAUCUGCUGCUCAAGCAACCUCAAGUUUAGGUAAAGACAUCCUACACGAAUUUGUCAGCAUUAGUUUAUGCAUCUCACGUUGUCAAAUAUAAGAAUCACCAUUUAUCUUACUCAAUUUGACAGAUUAGCGGUUUGGAUAACUAUAAUCUUUGUUGUGUCACCCCAUCUUAUUGUUGUUUUCCAUUUUCUCUUGAGGCACCCACCGUUUUAUAGAACACAGAGAAUUAUAGAAGAGAUAACUUCUUAAAUAUUUCAAAUUACAGGAUCCCCUUCAGGCAAUAAUGUUACUCCAGUUGGUCCUUGCCGCUAUGACAACUCCUUAGGUAAAUUAAAACUUUUAUGACUUCCGGUUACAAAUUUGUGUCUUUUAAUCUGCCUGUCCAUUGGGGUAAGAGCAUAGGUGGAGGUUGCAUUUCUGGGCUUGUGCAUUUGUAUGUUUAAAUUAGACAUUUUUCUAGAAUAUAUAUAUAUAUAUAUAUAUCAAAAUUAGUAACUAUGACUUCCUCUUUUGAUUCUAAUUCAGGUCUCUUAACAAAGAAGUUCAUUAACCUGCUCAAACAUGCAAAAGAUGGCAUUCUAGAUUUGAACAAGGCUGCUGAUACAUUAGAGGUAUCUUCUCUUUGCAGUAUAUACGGCAUAAGCCUGUAUGAUAAAUUUCUAUCAACUUACAGAUCUCUUCCCUUUAACAGGUGCAGAAAAGGCGUAUAUAUGACAUUACAAAUGUCCUGGAAGGAAUUGGUCUGAUAGAAAAGAAACUCAAAAACAUGAUCCAAUGGAAGUAUGGAAAUGCUUAUCCAAUAAAUAUAUUACAUUGAAGUUGUUUAUCAUUUACGUUCCACAUUAUUCAAGAUCAUUCAAUACACAAAAGUUACGACUCAGUUCUCUUAUUACAUAGGGGGUUAGAUGUCUCAAGACCAGGGGAAGUUGAUGAGAGUGUUACGAGUUUACAGGUUUGAAGAACUAUCUCAAUGCCUGUCUUUUUUCUUAUUUUGUUAAUUGUCAAUUGGCCCUGUCAUAAUCUGCCAAGUAGCCUGAGCAAAAGGAUUUCAAUAAUUGGUUUGUGCUGUCUUUACAGGCAGGAGUAGAAAAUUUGACGAUAGAAGAAAGUAGAUUAGAUGAACAGAUAAGGUUAUCUUCUGAUGCCUCUGAACAUAAUUCAAGAUUUCUUUGCUUCAACAUAAUGCUGACUGUGUUAAAUUUGCUCGUCUCAGAAAAAUGAAAGAAAGGUUGAGGGACCUGAGUGGAGAUGAAAAUAAUAAAAGGUACCACAUUCUUUGGCUUAAUCAUAAACCAAGUUAUUUGUGUUAUAUUUUUGUUGUGAAUGAAUCUAUCUGCUCACUUUUCCUUCGUAUUCUUGACAACUGAUCUCUUCUGAAUUUUUUUUUUUAAAAGAUGGCUUUUUGUAACUGAAGAUGAUAUAAAGAGCUUACCUUGUCUUCAGGUAAUUUUAAAACAUGCUUUUUGUUUUUUUCCUCUCAUUUCUUUGUAAUGCAGUUUCCAUCAAAUGACUAAUGCUGUGAUUUCAAUUUAUUGCUCUCAUCAGAAUGACACACUGAUAGCUAUUAAAGCUCCACAUGGCACCAGUUUAGAAGUUCCAGAUCCUGACGAGGUAACUGCUGUCUCUUUAGUACAAUUACCUUUUCUUUAUUAUUCUAACAAGUCUAUCUCAGCAAAAUUUAAGUGGCAGUUCUAUGUGUCUUAGCAUGUCUUCCUUGUUUCCAAUAGGCUGUUGAUUAUCCAGAAAGAAGAUAUAGAAUAGUGUUUCGCAGCACCAUGGGACCAAUUGAUGUUUACCUUGUCAGGUACUUAUUUACUUACUUACUUCAACUACCUAUGAAAUUGAAAAGAUUAAUAUGUUUCUAGAGGGAUGAAGUGUUUAAUAGCUUUGCAUUUUUUUAGGGCAAGAUAAACUUAGUUGAUUUUAGGAUGGUGUGUUUAAACAAUCUUUGUCUAAUUCUUUGUUUAGUAAAUUCGAGGAAAAGUUCGAAGAGAUAAAUACUGUUGAGGAACCAUCCACAAUGCCUUCAACAUCAGGUUUCAUUGAGAAUGAAACUGCAACAUUGCCUGUUGAUGAUGGCGGAGGAGUUGGUGUUGGGGUGUUGGAACAAGAAAAUCAAAGAGAGUGUCCAGAUGCUGGUACUUCCCAGGACUUUGUGAGUGGAAUUACGAAGAUUAUUCCUGAUGUUGAUGUAAGCUCUUAUUUUCAAGCCUUUAUAAAAUUGAAUGAUUAGAGUGUUUUAGAAGCAAAAAAUGAGGGAAAAGAGACUACUUCAGCGUAGUGCAUUUUAUCAUAAAUAAGUAGGUAUUUCAUAGAAACUUCCAAUGCAGUUUGGUUUUUUCAGUUACUUAUUUUUUCUUCGGUCCUGCAGAAUGAAGCAGAUUACUGGCUGUUGUCAGAUGCCGAUGUUAGUAUCACUGACAUGUGGACAGAAUGUAUCCUACUAAUUCCAUUCCGUUAUUUUUUAUUUCUUGCUAUCAAUGAAAUUUAUCCCUAGAAUAUCGAAUCCAUGACUCAAAGUUAGCUGCUCUUAACUGGAACGCUUUGGAUGCAAUUAAUGAGGAUUAUUCAAUUGCGGAUGUUAGUACUCCACGUGCCCAAACUCCCCCAUCCAGUACCAUUGAAGUACCUUCUGGGAAAUCUACUGGAAGCUGAGUAAUAUUUCCUGGCAUUUCUGUGGAUGCUCAGGCUUAGUUUUCGGAGUAGUGCUUGACCUUGGUGUUCAAAAUGAUAAAUUCUCCAUUAGCAAAUCUGUAUAAUAAAAGUUCUACAUUGAAUUAAUUCAUACUCUGUAUAGCCCCUUGAAUGACCUAAACGUAAGAACAAGUGCUUCCAGGAGCUUUUUGUAAAAUGCUCUGUCAGGAAGUUGGCAGUUUGAGUCCCAAGGAAAUGAGCUCCAUUGUACAGUUAGUAUAUAUAUCAUUGUACUUGUAGUGGCAAUAAUCAGAUGGUUAAACUGCUGUCAAAAUUUCUGUGUAUUGUUUAAUAUCUUGUUCUCUAUGGUUUUAGCUUUGAAAUCUGAUACUGAUGUAAAGUAAAUUUGAUUUAGUACACUGCUGUGCUGUAGUGGUGGCUUGUUUGUCCCACUUAAAUUCAGUACAAUUUGUCCAUUCACAUACUAACUAAUGAGCUGCAAUGUUCUAUUACAUUAUCUCGCCUUACUGGGAGAUUAGAAAGUGGUUGCUUCUGGCGAAGCGAAUGUGGUCUACUCCACCAAUAACUGGUCAAAUACCAAAUGCAUAUAAGGAGAAUUGAUCAUCCCAACUCCAUAUAAGGAUUCCAUAAUUUCCUUAUCCCACUGAUGUGGGACUUAGCAUGCUGCUAAUAUCAAGUGUUUAUUAUGUUAUAUCUACAAAAUCCUCGUUAGAUCUUUUGGUGAUUCGACAUGACUUUGUUUAUUUAAAUGCUGAUCAAUGUAGUUGAGCAGUUUAUAGUAUCUACUUAUCUUCACAUUCUUGUUUUAAAGAUUUUUAAAUUUAUUGCUGAUAAGAACUUGGGGAUACUCAAUUGUCUUGAUUAGCCACUGAAACGGAAGAGUGAAACAGCAAAUUAUGAACAGGGAGUUGGUGCACAGAUUGCAGGUUGUGGAAAUGCCAAUGUGAGUAGUUCAAUGCAGACACCAAUCUCAGGGAAAGCUGGAAAGUCACAGAAAGCACCUAAAUCUUCUGCUCAAGCAACCUCAAGUUUAGGUAAGGAUAUCCUACAAGAAGUUUUGUCAGCAUUAGUUUAUGCAUCUCAUAUCAUCACUAUAAGAUUCACCAUUUUAUCUUACUCAAUUUGACAGAUCAGCGGUUUGGAUAAUCUUUACUGUGUCACCCAUCUUAUCGUUUUUCAUUUUCUCAGAGGCACCCACCAUUUUAUUGAACACAUUUUAUUACAGAAAGAGUCAACUUCUUAAAUAUUUCAAAUUACAGGAUCCCAUUCAGGCAAUAAUGUUACUCCAGUAGGUCCUUGCUGCUAUGACAACUCCUUGGGUAAAAUUUGUAUGACUUUCAGUUACUACUUUGUGUCUUUUAUUCUCUCUGUCCUUGGGCUAUGAAAUAGGUGGAGGUUGCACUUCUGUGCUUGUGCAAUUGUAUGUUAUAGGACAUUUUUCUUGAAUUACUUGUUGUACUGGAUAAUAUAAACCAGAAUUAGUAACUAUGGCUUCCUCUCUUGAUUCUCAUUCAGGUUUCUUAACGAAGAAGUUCAUUAACCUGAUCAAACAUUCUGAAGAUGGAGUUCUAGAUCUGAACAAGGCUGCUGAUACAUUAGAGGUUUCUUCAUUACGCAGUAGAUACUACAUAAGCCGGUAUGAUGAAAUUCUAUCAGCUUACUACAGAUUUCCUCUUUUUAACAGGUGAAGAAAAGGCGUCUAUAUGACGUCACAAGCGUCCUGGAAGGCAUUGGUCUGAUAGAAAAGAAAUCCCUAAACAUGAUACAAUGGGAGUAUGGAAAUGCUUAUACAAUAAACUUUUUACAUUGAAGUUUGUCAUUUAAGUUCCAUUUUGUUCAAGAUUAUUCGAUAAAAAAAAGUUACGACUCAAUUCUCUUAUUACAUAGGGGGUUAGAUGUCUCAAGACCAGGGGAUGUUGAUGAGAGUGUUACAAGUUUACAGGUUUGAAGACCUAUCUCAUUGCCUGUCUUUUUCUUAUUCUCUUAAUUGCCAAUUGGCCCUUUUCUAAUCUAUCAAGUAGCCUGAGCAAAAAAGGGUUUCAAUAAUUGGUUUGUGCUUCCUUUACAGGCAGAAGUAGAAAAUUUGACGAUUGAAGAAAGUAUAUUAGAUGAGCAGAUAAGGUUAUCUUCUGAUGCCUCUGAUAAAAUAUUCAAUAUUUCCUUGCUUCAACAUUAUGCUGAUACUGUGUUAAAUUGGCUUGUCUCAGAGAAAAGCAAGAAAGGUUGAGGGUCCUGAGUGAAGAUGAAAAUAAUCAAAGGUACCACAUUCUUUGUCUUAAUGAUGAACCGAGUUGUUUGUUAGUUUAUUUACCUGGCACUUUUUUGCCAAUGUAAACAGUGUGGAUAACCUUUCGGAUUUUGUUAGUUCCCUAUCUCUAGUACAGUAGAGUAGUAGGGUUCCCUAUUGACUGUUUCACAAGUUUUUGCCUAGCUAGCUCCAUAUUUUCUGUUUGGAGCAGCUUUUUUGCACAAUGUGCUUUUGUAACUUCGCAUCUUGAUGCUUUCUAAUAUCAUUUAAUUACUUUAUCAAAAAAAAAUUAUGAACCCAGUUGUUUGUUGUUAAUGGAUCUAUCUGCUCACUUUUCCUUUCACAUUCUUGACUACUGAUCUCUUCUAAAUUUUCUUUUUAAAAGAUGGCUUUUUGUAACUGAAGAUGAUAUAAAGAGCUUACCUUGUCUUCAGGUAAUUUUGAAACAGAUGCUUUUUUUUUUUUUUUGAUUUCUUUGUAAUGCAAUUUUCAUCAAAUGACUAAUGCUCUGAUUUCAAUUUAUUGCUCUCAUCAGAAUUACACACUGAUAGCUAUUAGAUUUCUACAUGGCACUAGUUUAGAAGUUCCAGAUCCUAACGAGGUAAAUGCUUACUUUUUAGUACCAAAUCCUUUUCUUUAUCAUUGUAACAAGUUUACCAGUUCUUUAACUGGUAUCUCAGUAAAAUUUAGUAAAAAUUUAAGGAAUCCCAUAGUGUAAUUCAAUAAUUACAUUUUGUCCCGAUAAAAUUAGUAUUUACAAAAAAUCCCUUAAAUUUGUUGUUUCGUGAUACUUUAGACUCUAGUGAUACAUGGUAAAUGAUACAUGGUAAGUUUAAACUGUUGAGAAAAAAAUUGAGAAAAAACGGUACAAUUAAUGUUGUUACUAAAACAACUUAAUUUAAGGUAACAGAUCAUUAAUCACCAUAAAAUCAGCACGUAAUUGGAUAACAUUCUCCCCUAUGUAUAAGGUAACAUAUCAUUAAACAUUUGGAUAAUAUUCUCCCCUAUAUAUUUUUCAAAGUCCUUUAGGAAAUUGUUGUUAAAAUUGUCAGCAAACCUUAUGAGAUGUGUUGAUAUCUUUUUAAUCUUGUACUUCAGUGGCUGCAAUUUGAAAAUAAAACAACAAAUUAUAAUGAUAUUGAAAUAUAAAUACUAAAUAAAACAACUAAUAACUUACUGAUACAUGGUUUCAGUUUUCAGAAAUUCAUACUACAUGAAAAACAUGUGAUACAUGUCUACUACAUGUAUCAGUGAAUUAACUAAAACAUUAUAACAUGUGAUACAUAUCUAAUACAUGUAUCAGAAACAUCGCCUAAACAAUAUACACAUUGAUUCUAUAUGUAUCAUCAAGUACAGUGGAUGAAACAUUUAUUAAACUUAGUGAAUGAUACAUUAUAACAAUUUUCAAAACAUGUAUCAGUUCAUCUGCUUGCCUCCAAGAACAAGAAGAUUACCAAAUUCAUCUGCUUUUUGAUUGUUCGUUUAAUCUUUCCUCUGAUUGGAAUUUGUUUCUUCGGUAACUGAACUUGGGGGUUUAGGGUUUUUAUUUUUGGGAGUUGUUAAGCAUGUGGGUUUACGUUGAAGUUGCAAUGGCGGAGUAAGUAAUCUUUAAGAGAAGGAAGAUGAUUAUGGAAAAAAAAAAGAACUGAAACUUGAUGGAGUAAGAACAAAACGGGAGAAGUUAAGAGAAGUUGUUCUGAUUUUUGAAAUUUCAAAAUUUUUGAAUUUUGAAAUUCAAAAUUUCAAAAUUGGGUCUUUUAUUUAAAAUUAAUUAAAAUUAAUAAUUCAAAAUCAAAAAACUGAUUUAAAAGGUUGAGUGUUUAAAUGGAGAAAAUUCAAAAUCCAAAAACUGAUUUAAAAGAACAAAACGGGAGAAGUUAAGAGAAGUUGUUCUGAUUUUUGAAAUUUCAAAAUUUUUGAAUUUUGAAAUUCAAAAUUUCAAAAUUGGGUCUUUUAUUUAAAAUUAAUUAAAAUUAAUAAUUCAAAAUCAAAAAACUAAUUUAAAAGGUUGAGUGUUUAAAUGGAGAAAAUUCAAAAUCCAAAAACUGAUUUAAAAGGUUGAGUGUUUUAAUCGAGAAAAAAUAGGCAUUAAAAUGGAUAAUUGUGUAUUAUAGGAGAGAGAAUGUAAUGUAUCUAUAAACUUACACUAAAAUUAAAAAAAAGAGAAUUAUGUAAUAUUUAAAAAAAGAAGGGAAAAUUAGAGAAUAUAAAACUUAUAGUUGUGUAUUUAAGUUAUUUUUCCUAAAAUGUAAGAAACAGUUUUAUGUGUCUUAGCAUGUCUUCUUUGUUUCUAAUAGGCUGUUGAUUAUCCACAAAGAAGAUACAGUAUAGUGAUUCGCAGCACCAUGGGACCAAUUGAUGUUUACCUAAUCAGGUACUUAUCUUUCUUCAACUACUAUGAAACUGAAAAGAUUAAUAUGUUGCUAGAGAGGAUGGAGUAUUUAAUAGCUUUGCAUUUUUUAAGGGCAAGAUAAACUUAAUCGAUUGAAGGAUGGAUUGUUUAAACAAUCUUUAUCUAAUUCUUUGUUUAGUAAAUUCGAGGAGAAGUUCAAACAGAUAACUACUGUUGAGGAACCCUCAACCAUGCCUUCAACAUCAGGAUUCAUUGAGAAAGAAACUGCAGCAUUGCCUGUUGAUGAUGGCAGAGGAGUUGGUGUCGCGAUGGAAGAACAAGAAAACCAAAGGGAGUGUCCAGAUGCUGGUACUUCCCAGAACCCUGUGAGUGGAAUUAUAAAGAUAGUUCCCGAUUUUGAUGUAAGUUUUUAUUUUCAAGCCUUCAAGAAACUGAAUAAUUGUUGACUGUUUUUCGAAGAAAAGAAUGAGGAAGAAGAGACUAAUUCAACAUAGUGCUUUUCAUAGAAACAUCCAAUGCAGUUCUUUUUUCUUUCAGUUAAUUUUUUUCUUCAGCCCUGCAGAAUCAAGAAGAAGAUUACUUGUUUUUGUCAGAUGCCAAUGUUAGUAACACUGACAUGUGGACAGAGUGUAUCCUACUAGUCUUGUUCGGUUUUUCUUUACUUGUUGCUACCGAUGAAAGUUAUCCCUUGAAUAUAGAAUCCAUGACUCAAAGUUAGCUGUUCGUGAUGCGUUGGACUCAAUUUAUGAGGAUUAUUCAAUUGCAGAUGUUAGUAGUCCACAUGCCCAAACACCCCUCUCCAGUACCACUGAGCUAACUUCUGCAAAUACUACUGAAGCUGAGUAAUAUUUCCUGGCAUUUCUGUGUAUACUCGGGCUUUGUUUUCGUUGCAGUAGUUGAGCUUGAUGUUCAAAAUGAUAAAUUCUCCAGCAGCAAAUCUGUAUAAUAGUAGUUCUACAUUGAUUUGAUUCAUCCUCUGUAUAGUCCCUCGAUGAUCUACGUUGUACAGUUAGUAUAUACCGUUUGUCCUUGAAUUUCACAGUGUACUUGUUUUUUUCAUUCCAAUAAAUGGCGUCUUCAUGUGCUUCAAAAGUAAAGUACUAUAAUUUGUUCAACCUUUCAUGGAAUUUAUUUAUUUUGUGGAUGUGUAGUUAGCUGGAUGUCAAUUCUAUGAUCACUAUACUGCCAAAAUACAACUAUAUAUAUUUAAUAGCUUGAUGCCAAUUCUAUAAUCACUAUACAGCCAAAAUACAACUAUAUAUAUUUAAUAGGUCGAACCAUUACUUUUUAAGUAUGUAAACAAAAACUUGAAUAACUUUAAGCGUCUAUCGAUGUAUUUAACUAAUAACAAGCUUCUAAUUCUCUUAUGAAUUUUCAACAGACAAUUACACGAAUAGUCUUCUUUAAAAUGCUUUCCUUUCUUGAUUUCACAUAGAAGAAUUAGAGGCCCCACCACAACUCCUCCAAAAUAACAUUCACAAUAUCAUCAGUAAGUGGCUCCACAUUUUCCACUGGUUCUACAUCUUGCACAUGACCUCCCUAAAACCAAAAAAAUGGAAGUAAGAUAGAAUGAUUAUUUGAGAAAUUAACUCGAUCUUAGUAUCAGAGCGUGAUAUUAAGUUUAAGUUUGUGCAUUGAUAAUGCUAACUAAUAUCAUGUUAAGUAAUGAUAAGAAAAUUAUUUUAACAACAUAAUAUAAAUAAUUGUAGUAAUAGUAUAUAUAUAACUAACUAAAACCUUAUGUAGAUGUCAGAAAGAGAUCCCCUAUUUAAUGAGAUUAACGUGAUCUUUUGCUUCAAAAGGUCAAUAUAAUUCAUAAUUGCUUAACAUAAUCAUGUAAAUAAAUAAAUUAGAUUAUAGUUUGCUUUCUUUAAAUCAUUUAAAUGAGAUGACACACAAAUUACACUCUAAUAAUAAUAUUAAACCAAACAAAAUUCUUCUCACUACCAUACCACUUGUUAAUUAAUCCAUAAAAAAGAACCACCCACACGAGGGCAUAUUAAAUACAUUCAUAAGUAAAGAUUUAAGUUUAUAGACGAGAUGAUCAGAGGAGAGAAAUAAAGAUUAUACCAAACACAAGUCGAUAAAAGCAGCUACUAUGAAAUGCUGAUUCUUCAUAUUAUUAAUCUUCAAGAACCAAGUAAGCAACUCCUCCAUAAAUUCCCAAUCCACCAUAUCUCCCCUUUGUGCACCAUAAACUUUAGUCAUUUGCUCCAUUGAAUGCAAAAAAUCCAUUUUAGGAUUCUCAGUUUCCACAGCUAAGAGUAAACAAUCUUUGAAAGGGAAACCAACCAUGGAUAGAACUGAACAAGACUCGUUUUCUUCGAACGAUAACCUCCUUGUUGCCAAUGCUUGUUUUGCCAUCUCCAAUGCUUCAUCUGGACAACAACUUUCUGGGAAUGGACCAAACAUGUUAUCUACUAAACAUUGAUCAUAUUUUCUAGUCAUUUUUCUCUUCUUAUUCUUUUUCAAGAAGGAGAAACGUUUCCAUAAGGUAAAGUACUUCAUUCUUUUUUUUUACUAAGUACUCAACUUGUUACAUUUCUUCUUUUAAAUUAAAGGGCACUAGCUAUUUUAGUUACACAUUCAUUUAUAAUACUGCACCAACUCUUACAUAAAUGAAAUAAAUACUAUAUAAUAUAUAACUAAAGAGUGUGUAACGUAUUAAAAUGUUUUUCAAAUUUUGUGAUCUCAAACUUUAUAUUUGAAAUACUGUUAAAAUUAUAGAAUUAUCAAAUAUAAAAAUUAUUCUUUUUUAAGUAUGAAUAAAAUAAAAGAAGACAUGGAGUACUACAAAUUAAUUUAUUCACUUUUUAAGAAAGAACAAAUGAAAAAGAAAGUCUUCGAUCUUUUUAAUUAUAAGCUUCCCGUUAUGUGAGAAUCCACUAUUACAAACUAAUUAUAGCUAAUUACAACCAUAAAUAAAUUAACGACACUGUAUGACUUCUCUAAUAGUAAAAUUUCUAUUAAACGAUGCAUUAUUAUAUAUUAUUGGGAUAAUGCACAAGUACUCGUCAACCUAUGUCCGAAAUCUUAGACACACACUUAUAUUAUACUAAAGUUCUAUUACUCCUGAACUUAGUUUACUAAUAAUUUUUUAAUCCUUUUCGAUCUACGUGACAUUAUUUAUGUAGGUCCAACGCUGGUUGAUUUUUUUUAAGUUAGUGUCACGUAGACCGAAAAAGGAUAGAAAAUUACUUAUAAAAUAAGUUCAGAGAUAAUAAAACCUUAGUAUAGUACAAGUGUGUCUGACAUAAAUUGAAGAAUACUCGUACAUUUUCCCUAUAUUAUUUUAUCCAAUUAUCAGACAUUUCUAUUAUUUCGUAGUCAAUUUCCUCUUGCCUGUACUUGUCCCUAAUAAAAUGAUAAAUUUGUUAUUAAAAAAAAUUAGUCAAUUCCUAAUUGGUAUUUGAGGUUUUGCUAUUACUCGUAUUAAUUAAGCGUGAAUGUAGGUGAGGGAAGGUACUGAUUAUCUCAAAUAUUUUAUUGUUUUCUGGUUAGACUGUUAAACGUAAAUAAUAUUAUAAAUGGUGAACAGUUGUAAAUAUUAAAGUAAGUCUUUAAAUACCACAAAGAAAGUCCUGCUAAUAAAAUUUGUAAGUCUUCAAUAUGAUUUUUAAAAGUAUUUUACAUCAGUAAAAGUUUUGGAGCCAAUACUUUCUCUUUCUCGACAUGAUAAUUGAUAGUAUAUUUUAUUUGAAUCAAAAAUCUAUAAAAAAAUAAAAUAAUAUUUUUAUUUAUUUUAAAAAUAAACUCUACGAUAUAUCAUUCUUUUCACACUACAUUUUACAUUGAUAUGUUAUUGCUGAUGAUUCAGGUAAAUGCCAAUUUUCGAUUUAGAGACAAUGUCAUAAUUAAAAAAAAUUAUUAACGGGGUCUUGUAUAAUAUUUUAGCGUGGAUAAGUGGUUGGAGAUAUAAAACAUCAGUUGAAUGCUUUUUAUUACUUUUCUUAUAUCUAUCUAAUAAAUAAUAGCUAACACAAACAACUAGCUAGCUAGGUCUAAUUAACUAGGUCCAUGUUUGACUAUAACUACAUAUAUAAUUGGAUUGAUUUAUAUAUGUAGCUAGCCUAUGUACUGAUCAUUUGAAUUAAUUUGUUUCUCAUAUAUAAUUAAAAUUAGUAUUAAUUAAUCAAAUGAAAGGUUUAAGAGAUAAAUAUAGUAGCUUAGAUGGUAUUUUUAUGAUUACUAUAUAAUUACUCAAAAUGGAUAAUAUGGACCAAAAUAGUACUAAAAGCUUAAAUAUGUUAGCAGCUUUUAGAAAACAACUCAUUUAUGUUGGCCGUUAAAAAUUUGAUUUACCUACAUCAUUGUUGUUAAGAAAAAAUCUCAUUCAUGAUAUUUUUUUAACUUCGAUUUUGUAAAAUUAUUUUUUACGCUCCAGAUAAUAACAUUUUUCAAUUGAAGUUUUUGAAUCAAAUGUACACUUUUUGCUUCUUUUUCUUUAAGAACACAUGAAGAAUAUAAAUAACUCCCAUAUUUUUAACUUUUUCAAUUCUUCACGAAAUCAUCUCCAAUUUCGGCUACAUCAUUAAUUUCUUUUUUUUAAAAAAAAAAAUAAAAUUCUAAAAUCAUUUGUAGAGCUUAAAAAUUUACUCAUAUUUUAAAAAAAUUCCGUAAAACAAAAAUCAGUCCCAAAAUUUCAAAAUUUUGCUUUGAUUCAUCUUUUUUAGUUGUUUUUUUACAAUAGAUCUUUGUUUCAUAUUGUUAUUUUAGUUUACUUUCAAAGUUUUCAAAUGAUUUGAAGUUUUGGAGAAAGUUCUACUAUUAAAAAAUAUUAAAAUUUUGAAACUUUGAAGAUAUUUCAAGUGAGUCUAAUUUAGUUAGAUUGAAUUUGAGUUUGAAAGAUAUUGAGUUUUGAUAUCUAGGUAUGGAAAUAGUUACUUAUACAAAGCUUAACAACGAAUUAUUCAGUGAUAUUAGAUUUAAUUCAUUAAAUUAAAUUGGGACAUUAAAUAGGUGCCAAAACAUUUGAUAAAAAAGAGCCAGAUUGGCUUUUAGCUUACCACAGGACUUUCAUCAUACCAGUUUUUUUUAAAAAUCUCCAUCCUCUUAGCUUUGUUUGGACAUAGAUUUUGAGAAUAAAUAUUUACUCCCUUUGUCUCUUUUUAUAUGAUUUUUUUGUGUUUUGAAAUAUAAAUAAGUCUAUUUUGGAUUGUAAAUAUUUUAUAAAUUUGUUUAACAUUUUGAAUUAUCAAUUAUUGUGACUUAUAGUAUUCUUUAUGUAGUUUACAAAUAUAUAAGUUUCAUUUAAAAAAAUUAAAGAUUUCAUACGCAAAUUUCUGAAAAAUUAAACUGUUUGACUCUCGGAAAAUAAAAAAUGUCAUAUAAAAUGAGACAGAGUAAAAUAAAAGGUUUGAUCAUCAUAUUGGCCAAUUGGUGAAAAUCUAUCUCUAAAUCUUUUUCAAGUUUCACUCAUAAAUUUUCAUUUCUGCGAGUAAAAAUACAUGUAUAGAUACAACUUUAACUUCUAAAAAUUAUAUAUUCCAAUAAAUUUUUAAAAAUAUAUAUAUUUUUUAAAAUUUCAAUUAAAUCUAUGAUGACACAAACUUGAUUUUUCAUUUUGUGAAAAUUAAGGAAAUACAGAUUCAUCCAAAGUCACGGAAAUAAAAACUUGGAGCUUUCAUCGAUCGACUAUUCAAUUUAAAUUGGAUAUUAUUAUUACUCCACGUACAUGGAGUCAACACUUUCUUAGGUAAUUUGGGUUUUGAAUUUGUAUUGAGUCUAUACAUGUUACUUUGCUGUUUCGGUCUUGCAACAUUUUAUUUUAAUAAAAUAAUAAUAAGAAAAAGUGGACGAUAUAAAAUUUUAUUUUUGAAUUAUUGACAGGUUACAACAUCAAAAUGUAUUUACGUCUAGAGUCAAGUAAAUAGGUAUUCAAGGUUGUCAAUAGUUUCAAAGAUUAAAUUAAUAAUUUAAUAAUUAUUUUGAACCAAAUAAAUUAAAAUUAGAAUUGAGAAUCGGUGAGUUUGUAAUUAGCUUGAAAAUAUGAGUAUUUCCUCUUCUAUUAGCUAUUAUUAAAAUUAAAAGUCAUGAAAAACAAUAUUUUCAGCUUAAAAGAAUAAAUGAAAUAGCUUUUAUUUACUAAUAAUUAAUUAACUUCUAAUCCAUACAAGACGCCAGCAUGUCUUUCUGCUCCGUUAUUCACAAAAUAAAUAUCCCUCAUUUUCUGAAACGCAUGCCACGUCAGCAAGCUAUCUGAACCGGCCUGGUGACAUUUUCCGACCGCCCGGUCCACGGACAAUGUCUUCGCAAGCCGGUCUAAACCACCAUAAAGGCUAUUACAGAAUCUCAUCAAAUGCUUCAUAUCAUAAACUUUAUUUCCAAAAAACACCCUCACGACUUCCAUAAACUCCUCUAAUCCACCGGGGAGUUCCCGGCGCGUGAGUAUCUUCACCAGGUAACCGAAAUCAUACGCGCUGUGAAACGUAACCCAACUCACCGAUUCAUUACAAACCAAACCGGACGACAUCAUCAGUUCAGUGAACCGGGCUGAGUUGAUCCCGCAUUCCCGGUUCAUUUCAAAGUCGAUCCCCUGUCGGCGGAGUAACUCGAUGGAAUCCGGAGCGUAGAGAUCACGCUCCACAUCGAAAUCGGAGAAAUUGAACUGCCAUAUGUAGCCGCCUCCGUCAGAUCCUAAACCAGGUAGGUUACCUUCCGCGUCAGAUAAAGUUAACCCAAGCUGUAUGAGAUUCAACACAUCCACGUUAGACUUCAAGAGCUUAUACUGAUCGGAUGGGGGAUUGUAGGAAACGUUAGGCUUGAAAACAACCCCAGGAAACUCAGUAUCCAUAGAUAUGUAAGGGUAGUUAUCAAUCACAGUUGAAAUAAGUUGAAAUUCUGGUUCGAGAUUAUGAGCCCAUACUUGUCGAAUUUUAAUAGCCAUUAUGGGUAUUGAAAGUAUGAAAGAAGGAAACUGAAUUGUUUGUUGGUGAGUGUGAGGGUAUUUUAUUUUUAUUUUAUAGAAAUAGAAAGAAGAGAGGCAAGUGGUGGGGGGAGUUGAGUGGUUUUGCAGAGUGAAAAGGGAAGGAGAAAGGAAAGAGAAUGGAAUGCGUGGGUACACAGAAAUAGGGCAAGUUUUUAGUCCACGUUCAACGCGUUUGAGUUGUUUCAUUUGACUCAUAAACAAAUUAGAGUGAUGAUUAUACAUAAUCUAUUUCAUUAUAUGGUCUCGUUUUUUAUGUUUUUUUUUAAAUACACUUAAAUAUAUUCUCAUUACUAAUCCCUUCAGUUAAAUAUAUUAAGAGAAUUUCUUUCUCUCAUUCCAAGUUGUAAAGUAAUACGGGUUUGUCAUUUCAUAAAAUUUAUGUAUAAAUUAUGCUAAUAUUUUUUUAUUUUAUCGCUUGAAAGUAUAAAUUAUUCAAUAUAAUAAAAUUAAGUAAUUUUAGUUUAUUUUUAUCUAUUAAAUUAGUUAAUCAAAGUAAAAUUCAAAAUGUUGACAACUGCAUAAAAAAAAAGGGAGAGAACUUUUUCAAAAAAAUACUUCUACUUCAUUUUCAAAUAAGGAAUAAAAUUGAAAGAAUUUUCUAAAAAUAGUCUUGAAUACUGAAUAAUUAAGUUAAUUUAAAAAAUACAAAAUGCUUUAAAAAUUUAAUUGAUAUGAAAUGGUGAGAGUAAAAUUUUCUGACAAUCUUUUUAAAAGGAGCUGUCAAAUUAACAAAGGAUAGGUACAAUUAAACGGAAAAAAUAAUAUUUUAUUAAAAAAGACAAAAAUUUUAUAUCGACAAUUAGUGAGAUGAAUAUACUCCUUAUAAAGCUUGAGAAAUUUAUUUCAUUUGAACUAACUUUUAAAGUGUAAGUUAGACCUAAGACCUGACUCUUUUUAACAUAUUUAAAACCUUGUAUUUGACAUUGCUUUAGUUCACAUACAAAAUAUUUUAACAUAUUUGAAACCUUGUAAUUGACAUUGGUCUAGUUCACAUACAAAAUAUUUUACUCAUGAAUUAUUUGAAAUAAAAAUAAUUAUCUUUCGUCAACAUUAUCUCCACAAAUGUCAUUUUUAUAUUAAGUAACGAAAAUUACGUCAUCUUUGCUUAAAAACCAAUCAAUUCUUGACUAUUCUUUAUCACCCAAUUAUUAACACAUUUAAAAUAUAUUAUUUGACAAAAUGUUAACAGAAAAUACAAUGAAUAUGAAAAUGCUGGAAGUGAGCUAAGCAAAUGAACUAAUUUUGUUUUUUCUUCUAUUUUGGGGUUUCUGAAUCAGUGGAUUUUGGUAGUUUCAGAAUUGUGACAUCUGCUUGGCGGUGCACGUGUAAAUAACUAAAUUAAUCAUCACAUGAUUGACAAAUUAAAAUAACGUAAACUUGUUUAAUUUUAAAUAUCAACAAAAUAAUUUAUUAUUUUAUAUUCAUUCUUAAUUACAUAAUUCGAUAAAAAAGAAAAAAAGACAUAUUUUUUUUUUGCAGUAAAGAAAGAUAUAAAAUUAUUGAAUGUUAAUUAGCUUUUUUCUUCGUUUAAACAAAACGUACCGUCAAAAGCAAUUAAAAUGUAAUUAUCAGCAAUUUGUGGAGAUUUCUUUCACAUUUUUAAUUUUUACGAAUUCAAUAUUUUAUAAUAUGUAAAUAAUAAGAUAGUGGGGGGUUUAAUCAUUGAUUUAAUUUUAUAAAAUCUUAUUUAAUUAAAAACGUGAUAAAGGAGGACAUUCAGCAUUUUCGUGCCAGUCAAAUAUAUAUUGAUGCAGUGGCCUCCUUAGAAUACUCUUUCUAUGGCAUCUCUUUAAUUAUUAUUAUUAUAUACCAGUAGAAAUAAAACUAGUGGUGCUACACUAACUAAUAUUCUAAAAGUAAAGUAGUUUGACAAUUUUUAAAAAAUAAAAAUAAUUUUUAAAUUUUGUGAUCAUAAAUUAAUAUAUAUUGAAUGUAUUAAAAUAUUUUUUAAUUUUAAUAUUUUAAAUAUGUCGCGUCAGAAAAAAUUGAAAUAAAAUAUUAUUUAUCAAAUUAAAGAUAUUUUUUUAAAAAAUACUUUUAAAAGGAAAUAAAAUAGAAUAGGGAAAAGACUCAAAUAUGCUAUUCAAUUUUCAGAAUAGACUCAUUUAUGUCAUCAGUUAAAAGUUUGACUCAUUUAUGUCAUUAUCGUUAAAAAAAACUCAUUUAUGUCAUUAUUUUUUAACGAUGAUUUUGCAAAACCAUUUUUUAGACGUGAUUAAUUAUAAUUCGGUCUAGUUAUUAAUUUAUUUAAUUACAAAAAUAAAAAAAUAAUUCUUUUUUCAGUGCAAAAUAUAAAAAAUUAAUUAGUAUUACUUAAGUUGUACACUGUAUUAUUACCUUCCUCAUUUGACCCUGCUUUUACAUAUAUGUUGACUUGACUAGUCUCUUUAGACUUAUUUUAGUCAACCACGUAUACUCCUGUAGUGUAAAGACCGAGUAAAAACUAUAGGUUAUGAUAAUGUGGGACAAUUAUAUUAUCCAUUUACAUUAUUGUAUAGGUUCGAUGGAGGGUAUUGGGGGUCCCAAUAAACAUGAUUUUCAAAUCAUGUAUCAUGUAUGAAUUGAAUUUUUCCACUUAAUUGAUAAACUUGUAAAAAAAUGAAAUAAAUUUAACUUGCUAUAUAUAAAUUACUUAUUAAAUAACGACUCUAAAAAGCAAAUAUUUCAAUUUUCAGCAUCUUGCUCCUUAGUGGCUGCAAUUUAGGCCCAAGAUCCUUAUUUUGAUCUGCAGCCCAUUUACUUCUCAAUCUAGUUAUGGGCCCAAUGGUUAGGCUCAACAUUUCUAUUUGAUCCAACAUGUAUAUGGAGAUUAUACCAUAAUAAAACAUUUAAAAGAUUAAAAUAACCUAGUUUUUAGAUUUUUUUACUUAUUUUAAAGAUAUGGUAAGAUUAUAAACUUUUAUAAGUACAUAGUGUAUCUUACUUUUACAUUUUUGUUUGAAAAUAAAAAAAAUCAUAAAAUCAAUUGUAUUUAGUGCAAAACUACCAUCCAUCCAUUUUUGAGCCAAAAAGGUUGACGCGAACUUUGUACUGUGCACAUUACUUAGACGGGUUCUAGAAAGGCAUAUAGAAAGGAAUGGAGAAAUCGAGAAUAAAGAAAUUUAAUAAGAAAGAAAAGCCAAAGAAAUGAGAUAAUAUCGAAUUAUAUUUCUUUGGAUCUGAGUUGAAUCUUGUCUAUUUCAACACCCCUAGAUUCGGAUUCUACUUUUAAGUCUUUCCACAAUUAACUAAUUUUACCUUUCUAAUAUGUAUUACGUCUUUCUAAUAUGUAUUACGUAUUCAAAUUCGUUUGAACAAGAGGAGAAAAAAAGAGGAGAUAGAAUCCAAUUCUUUUAGAUACUUUAUCUAAGAAACUCUACCCAUCUAUGUUCUAGAUGGGGUAUAUCUCGCUAAACUGGAUAAAGCUAUUAUUCUAAUCUAGACUAUAAAAAAAUAUGUAUGUGGAUUCAUAUCAAUUAAUUAGAAAUUCAUUCUAGGGAAGAGAGACCCAUAAAAAUUAAUCA
rnacentral:lncRNA from 1 species